ACACACACACACACACACACACACACACACAUUUUCCCCUAGUGCAUCUUGUCCUCAGGAAAGUCUUCAUCAGGGACAUUAUUUUUAUGGUCUCUGAAUGGACAGUGAGUAGUGAAGUAAUCAGACUCAAUCAGAUGACCAGCUCCCAAGCUGAAGUACAGAUAGAAAGAAAGAGAAACGGAGAGAGAGAAUGAGAGAAUGAGAGAAGAGAAGGGAUGGGAAGGCAGAGAGAGUGAAAGAAGACAGAAGGGAGGGAGGCGAAUCUGUGAGAACAGUGAACUGCGUGUCUGUCUUCAAUGAGUAUACACUGAGAUAACAACAGGUUUUGCAAGAUAACCAAUAGCAUUGACUACAUUAUCUAGAGACAUAGCUGAUUUCCUUCUUAAGGUCGAGACAUGGAAAGGACAGGGAAUAAAGUGUCCACCAUCUCCCCACAAAAACAGACAGUGAAAAAUAGAUCCAAGUCCACAGAGGAGGUACAGCAAGCCAAAAAGGCCUUUCAUACACCACAAAAAUCUCUUCCGGCUAAACCAGAAACCGAACAACUUGAGGAGACAUCAGAACUGAGUGCCUCAUCAGAGGAGUUGAAAUGAUUGCUGGAUUCAAUCUUCGGGACUUUGAGAUUUAGACAGAUCAACUGAAAUUAUGGGUAAUAACAAGAGGAUGAUUCAGUGUCUCUGUUUAUGGAAUUGUGACUCAGUUUUACUUAGUUUAGUUAGCAUAGAAGAAAACCAACAAUAAUCAUGUGUAGCUUCUUGAAUUUGUUUGAGUCUGAUAAUGUUUGUGAAAUAAAUGCACAAC
ensembl:lncRNA